rnacentral:rRNA from 1 species
GACGAACGCUGGCGGCGUGCUUAACACAUGCAAGUCGAGCGGUAAGGCCCUUUCGGGGGUACACGAGCGGCGAACGGGUGAGUAACACGUGGGUGACCUGCCCUCAGCUCUGGGAUAAGCCUGGGAAACUGGGUCUAAUACUGGAUAUGACUCCACGGUGCAUGUCGUGGGGUGGAAAGCCUUGUGCGGCUGAGGAUGGGCCCGCGGCCUAUCAGCUUGUUGGUGGGGUGAUGGCCUACCAAGGCGACGACGGGUAGCCGGCCUGAGAGGGCGACCGGCCACACUGGGACUGAGACACGGCCCACGACUCCUACGGGAGGCAGCAGUGGGGAAGUCUUGCGCAAUGGGCGAAAGCCUGACGCAGCGACGCCGCGUGAGGGAUGACGGCCUCGG